CCCAUGACAUGGUGGAGAAAUGAUGGCAAGUGACAAUUCUAUCUACAAGGAAGGUGGCAUUUAAUUAUUCUUUCCCAUUCUUACCACUGGAUGUGGAUAAUGGCUUGAGAAAAUUUUGCCACCUUGUUCUCCAGACGUUCAGCAUCUUCUUAACUGAGGAAUUCUGUCAUCAUCCUUUUCGCAUCACAGUCUGGAAAUGCUCUUGAAGCUAUGUUCAACUGACUGUAUCUGCCCAUUUCUAAUAGACAGUAUUGAAGCCUUCAUUAUAUUUAAGUAUUUCUUCAUGUGAUGACAUUGGUUUCUUCUUCAAGAAACCUGACUGUUAAAUUUAUACAUGGUUAAUUGUGUUUAUUCCCUGCCCAAGCCUAGUAUUCAUUUUUUCAAGAAGCACUGUAUAGUUUCUGUUACUAGAAAACAGAGUUGAAACAAAAUAUCUGGACAGAGUCUACUCAUGGCUCCUGAAACUUUCAUUGAUUCCCAGCUGUCACCUGGCAAUAAAAGGUACUGUGAAUACUAAUGUACACAUACAAACAUGUCUAUGAAUAUUUCUACAUGUUCCCCCCAUUUGUAUCCAUUCAUGUCUAUAUUAAGCAUGCCUGUGGUACUAUAUGAUCUAAUCUAGUACCUCAGUAUUUGUAUCCACAUUUAUCUUUAUU